GUCUUCUUCUUUGCAAGUUAUUUACAUCUGUUUUUUAUUUAAUUACUAUUUACCCAUAUCAUAUUUAUUAAAUUUUUUUUAAGGAACUUGUAAGUGUUGAAUAAACAAUCCGAGAAUUUUUAUUACAAUAUGAGAAAAAAGUCAUCUGUUGGGAGAAGUUUGAAAGCCUUGUUGGCAAUAUCAUUUUUUUGUAUGUAUUUUGUUUGUUUCAUUAUUGUUGAUGCAGUUAUUUAUGUUGGUGGUG
rnacentral:lncRNA from 1 species